AUGUGAUGGUUUGGCUUGUGGUGUUGUUUGUUUCUGUUCUUGUUUUGUCACAGCUAUGGCGGAGUUCCUGGCCAGCGCACGUAAUGCACGGAAAGGAUUUGGGGAGUCGCAGCCUGCUAGGGCUGAUGGCCGAAGGCAGGCUGUACGAACUCUGGAUAAAGACUUGGAGUAUCUGUCUGUUGAGUAGUCACCCCAACAGCUGACAGGUGGAAAUGCUGGCUGUGUAAAAGUUUAAUAAAGCUGUG